CCUACGGGUGGCUGCAGUGGGGAAUAUUGGACAAUGGGGGGAACCCUGAUCCAGCGCCGCCGCGUGAGUGAAGAAGUAUUUCGGUAUGUACAGCUCUAUCAGCAGGGAAGAAAGAAAUGACGGUACCUGACUAAGAAGCACCGGCUAACUACGUGCCAGCAGCCGCGGUAAUACGUAGGGGGCAAGCGUUAUCCGGAUUUACUGGGUGUAAAGGGAGCGUAGACGGUUACGCAAGUCUGGAGUGAAAGGCGGGGGACCAACCCCCGGACUGCUUUGGAAACUGUAUAACUGGAGUGCAGGAGAGGUAAGUGGAAUGCCUAGUGUAGCGGUGAAAUGCGUAGAUAUUAGGAGGAACACCAGUGGCGAAGGCGGCUUACUGGACUGUAACUGACGUUGAGGCCCGAAAGCGUGGGGAGCAAACAGGAUUAGAUACCCGUGUAGUC
rnacentral:rRNA from 1 species